rnacentral:lncRNA from 1 species
AUUGCACAUAACCCUAGGUUUUGCCUACCUAUACUGUUCACACAGCACGUAAAUCUCCGCCCCCGAAGCAGUCCCCCAAAAUUAUUAUUACAUCAAGAACAACGUUUUACAGAGGCUAUUACAGCAUAAGUAAUAGCUAGAUUAAAGAAGAGAAUUAAAGAACAAUCCCCUCCCUAUCCCCGGGCGACUAUUCAAAAUCUCGUGUCGAAUUAGGCCUGCGAAACAAUACAUAAUAGCAAACAAACAAGAACAAACAUCGAAGUAUUCUUAUAGGCAUGUUCCUAAAAUCAUCAUGCAAUCAACACAUACACAGAGAAUAAAAUAAUUGCGUUGAUUCGUGAAUUUACCAGUAAAAGCAGUAAAAGAGAUAAUAAGAGUAAUAAAACCCAAGCAAUUUGUAAUAGUGAAAUACGCAAAGUGUUUUUCAGCAGCAUUACAAGAGAACCAAAGAACCUUUAAAGUAUCUAAUUGUUUUUGUAUAAAAGUAGGCAAGAAAGUAUUGAUUGUGAAUUGUGGAACUUAAGCCAUGUCCCCUUAAUGAAAAGAGAGGGGUUUGUUAUAUAGUGUAGAAAAAAAAUCAGUCGGCGCAAGUACAGAAGGGAAAAGAAUAUUUUAUGUCUUCAAUCAAUGAAGUUUCUUCCACAAAUAUCAAAAUUACCACUACGUUUGUCAAAUAAAUUAGUCAUCCCGCGCGUAAAAAAGGAAAAGAGAAUAUUUUCAAUCAAGGUUUUAGGGUCAAUUAAUCAAUUAUGGAGAGAUGAUUUCUUCUAAAUUACCCUAAAUCAGUGAGCAAAAAAUAUAUAUGUGAUCUAUUUAUGUUCAAAUAGGUGGAAAAAAGAGCCCUUGCCAUAAUUAACAGAUUGUCAUUAAAACAGAUUUCAAAACAUCAAGAAAUUAGUCUCAGAGCAAUUUGCUAAAAGAAAAGAUUUACCAUGUACGGGUACGGCCUACGGGUUGAUAUAAUUACACACAAACUCAAAUUUUCAACUGCCAAAAAUAAUCGCCUAAAAACCCAAGCUUGUCAAGACAAUCUUAGCAUAAAAGCGAUUUCGAAAAAUCAGUUUCAUAACAUUCUUCAAAAGGUAAAGACACUUGAAAACAUAACACAGGGUCAAAUCAUGUAAAUGUCAACUCAAGCAAGACGCGAUAAUUUCAAAGAGGAGAAAAUUCAGUACCCAAUUGAAGUUUGAGGUUGAAAUUAAGUAUCACCAAGAUUGGCAUUUUCACGCAAGCUAAUAGAAAAACAUAAAAUUUAAGGCAUUAUGUUAAAAUUCCUAAUCAUGCUUCACGAAUUUCAGAUCUAAAAUCAUGCAAAAUCACAGAGAACAAAGAACAAUUAAGGAAAUCAAACCAUAAGGAGACAUCAAACUCGAAAACAUUUAUAUUAUUAGCGGCUGAAAAGGGUUCGAAGGAGGAGUAAGGGUGGUCGCUGGUUGAAUUCUUGCCGCCUGUUCUCAUCCCGGCGUGGGGCUGGUUGUCGCCUGAAGGGGAGAACGGAGGGAGAGUUGGCGGUGGAGGGGGCUGGUGUUGCUGGUCGUUCUUGUUUCGCCGGAGACAGAGAUUUCUCCGGUGGUUGAGGCGGCGACGCUAGAGAGGAGUGACGCAGGUUGCUGGUGGCGGUGGCUGUUGUCAACGGAGGAAGAGGAGGAUGAAGAUGAAGGCGUCGUUGGUCAUGGCUAGUGCAGCGGUGUAGAGAGAGAAGAAAAAGAGGGGUCUCGCCGGUGACGGCGAGAGAGGGCGGCGGUAGAGGUUUUUUGAGAUAGAGAGAGUAGAGAAAUGGAGGCUGAUUUUUUGGAAAUUCGAUUUUGG